rnacentral:rRNA from 1 species
UACGUAGGUGGCAAGCGUUUGUCCGGAUUUACUGGGCGUAAAGAGCGCGCAGGCGGUCGAUCAAGUCGCGUGUGAAAGCCCCCGGCUCAACUGGGGAGGGUCAUCGAUACUGAUCGACUCGAAGGCAGGAGAGGGAAGUGGAAUUCCCGGGUGUAGUGGUGAAAUGCGUAGAUAUCGGGAGGAACACCGAGUGGCGAAGGCGACUUCCUGGCCUGUUCUUGACGCUGAGGCGCGAAAGCUAGGGGAGCAAACGGG